rnacentral:rRNA from 1 species
GACGAACCGUGCGAACGUUAUUCGGAAUCACUGGGCUUAAAGCGCGUGUAGGCGGAUGGGUACGUCGGUGACUGAAAGCCCCCGGCUCAACCGGGGAAGGGGUGCCGAAACGACCUGUCUGGAGGGACGUAGGGGGACCUGGAACUUCCGGUGGAGCGGUGAAAUGCGUUGAGAUCGGAAGGAACGCCCGUGGCGAAAGCGAGGUCCUGGACGUCUGCUGACGCUGAGACGCGAAAGCUAGGGGAGCAAACGGG